rnacentral:ribozyme from 13 species
UUUACCAUCUUGACUGUUUUUUUCUUUUUGUUCUUUCUACUUUUUCAAAACGUUAAUGAAUUAAUCGGGAUGGUGUCAGAUUCCCUCUCGCGAAGAAUGGAAUAUAAAAUGAAAAUAUUAUUUUUCGUU